UACGAAGGGGGCUAGCGUUGCUCGGAUUUACUGGGCGUAAAGGGCGCGUAGGCGGACAGUUAAGUUGGGGGGUGAAAGCCCCGGGGCUCAACCUCGGAAUUGCCUUCAAUACUGGCUGUCUUGAGUGUGAGAGAGGUGUGUGGAACUCCGAGUGUAGAGGUGAAAAUUCGUAGAUAUUCGGAAGAACACCAGUGGCGAAGGCGACACACUGGCUCACUACUGACGCUGAGGCGCGAAAGCGUGGGGAGCAAACAGG
rnacentral:rRNA from 1 species